rnacentral:rRNA from 1 species
UACAGAGGGGCAAGCGUUAUUCGGAAUUAUUGGGCGUAAAGGGCGCGUAGGCGGCGAUUCAAGUGACGGGUGAAAUCCCUCGGCUUAACCGAGGAACUGCCUGUCAGACUGGGUUGCUUGAGACCGGGAGAGGCGAGUGGAAUUCCCAGUGUAGCGGUGGAAUGCGCAGAUAUCAGGAGGAACACCAAUAGCGAAGGCAGCUCGCUGGGACGUUACUGACACUGAGGCGCGAAAGCGUGGGGAGCGAACAGG